UCACAGGGCAUGAACCGUUAAGAGGUAAACGGGUGGGGUCUGCACAGUCUGCCCGGAGGAUUCAACCCGGCAGGUCUGGUUGGCCCGGCCUGGGAUCGCGGAUCCCCUUGGGUGGGGACCGUCGCCUGGCAUCGGCAUCUCCGUCGAGCGCACUUCUUCCGAGGCGGAGAGCCGCGACCGGCUCCGGUUUGGCCAGGAAGGGUCGGGGGUGAAGGUGGCCCCAGGGCUGUGGGUAGUGUCCUCGCGCCUUCUCUCCUCCUGCCGGGGGAGGGACGGGGCCCCUCGCUCCCGGUGCGUACGUCGACCGGGGCGGACUGUCCUCAGUCCGUCUCCGACCGCUCCGUGCCAUAAGGGCGGGGAUCAGGCCCUCGUAAAGGGUGCUCGAGGUCGGUGGCGAGGUCGGCCACCCACCCUACCCGUCUUGAAACACAGACCAAGGAGUCUAACACACUCGU
rnacentral:rRNA from 1 species